UCCUGGUCUGAGCUGGGCUCUCGCAGUGGUGCCUGCCACGAGCUGCCAGCUUAAUGAGAUGUGUGGCCCGGGCUGGCCAGCUGACCUCUCUCCUGUCACCCCAGAGCCUCAGAGGAGCUGCCCAGAAGCUGGCAUCUGGGACUGAGGCCCACAAGGGCUGAGCUCCCCAGGGGAGGCCCCAGGCAGCUGGGACAGGGCUGGGCCAGGUCCAUUCUCUGCAUGGCAGGGAAGCAUCUAGCCACCGUGCCAGCAGCCCGAGUGACAGGAGGAGCUGUCGAAUCCUGACCUUUGCCUCCCUCUCCAAUUUCUCUUUCCAGGUGCCCAGGUCCCGAGGCAGCUGCAUACACUGGUCUGUGGACUCAGAGUCAGGGUCUUGUCGGCCAAGAGCAGUGAGCCAGCUGCCCUCCCUGGGCCUUGGUUCUUUCUCCUUGACGCAGCGACAGGACAGCAGCGCUAAGAGCUCUUACUGCCUGGGCCUGCCUGCUGCAGGGGACAACGAUGGGAGGAAAGUGAGAAGCUUCUUCACACCGAGUCAGGGGAAACACAGCGGGAGUGUUUACAGCUUGAAAAACUAUAUCUGGAGAGAAGACAACAAUUCACCCAAGGGAAUGUCUCUGAGGACACUUUGUUGAAUUUUAGGAGGAAGUGGAGCUGCUGGUGCCCUUCAAACCCUGCCAAAAAGGGAGUUCUUGCUCUCUGGUCUUCUAUGGGCAGCGUCAGUCUGGGGUUAUGGACUGGGGCUGUAAAUUUCAGCUUAUGCCUUUAGGCAUCUGUGUCUUCUCUCCCUCAUUGUCCUCGUAUUUCAGAACUGGCACCUGAGCUCAGUGGGAGCUGAUCUGGGCACAGAGCAGCGGGCAGAGGAGUGCACACGAGGAAGUGCUUCAGAGGAGCUCAAACCAGGAUGGACACAGCACGAAGCUGCUGGACAGAGCAAUUCCACUCCCUGGAGCAUCUGCAGAGCCAUCAGGUCUGGCUUCUGCCCAGCUCAGCCUCCUCACCCUGCCCUCAAGAGACUCUGUCCCUCUAGGGCCUGUGGAAGGCAUCUCCUCAGGCCUCCUCCCCUUCUGGAGCCACAUCUGGACGGCAGAGUGAGCCCCCAGUGCCAGGCCCUCUGAGGCUGCUGGCGUGGCAGGGGUGAUUUUAUGGAAGGCGGCCCUGGGGAAGUGAGAUGAGCAGUCACUAAGUAUGUGGGUGGAAAGCUAGGGGAGCAGUGGGGAGGUGGGACACUUGACCCUUGGUUGUUAUUCUCCAAGUCAGGCUAGGAUCUGGUUGGGGUGAAGGGAACACUCAAGCGGGAGAGUGCUCUUUUUUUCCCUUAGCAUUUGGGAGGUUUCCAGGCUCGAGCAGCCCCUACCUUGGCCUCUGAGCUCAUGAACAGAUUGAUGAGGUUACACAAGGCACCAUGAGCCCCGGAUAUUUGUUUAUGAGUGUGGGGUCCCAGGAAAAAGCAGUGAUGCUUCCAUGACUUCCUGGAUGCCUCUGACAAACCAAGUGAAGCUAAAAACAAAGGAGGUGGGGUUCUGCUCAGUCAACACUCAGGAAAGAUGGUGUUUGGAAGUUCCCUACGAGGAUGUGCAGCUUGCGCACUGCUCUUCGGCACGGCCUGGUGUUUCAGAGCAGGCUUUGGGAUGG
rnacentral:lncRNA from 1 species